CAGGCCUAACACAUGCAAGUCGAGCGGCAGCGACAUAACAAUCCUUCGGGUGCGUUUAUGGGCGGCGAGCGGCGGACGGGUGAGUAAUGCCUGGGAAUAUGCCCUGAUGUGGGGGAUAACCAUUGGAAACGAUGGCUAAUACCGCAUAAUCUCUUCGGAGCAAAGAGGGGGACCUUCGGGCCUCUCGCGUCAGGAUUAGCCCAGGUGAGAUUAGCUAGUUGGUGAGGUAAGAGCUCACCAAGGCGACGAUCUCUAGCUGGUCUGAGAGGAUGAUCAGCCACACUGGAACUGAGACACGGUCCAGACUCCUACGGGAGGCAGCAGUGGGGAAUAUUGCACAAUGGGGGAAACCCUGAUGCAGCCAUGCCGCGUGUGUGAAGAAGGCCUUCGGGUUGUAAAGCACUUUCAGUCGUGAGGAAGGCAUAUGCGUUAACAGCGUAUGUGUUUGACGUUAGCGACAGAAGAAGCACCGGCUAACUCCGUGCCAGCAGCCGCGGUAAUACGGAGGGUGCGAGCGUUAAUCGGA
rnacentral:rRNA from 1 species